CGGCGGACGGGUGAGUAACGCGUGGGUAACCUACCCUGUACACACGGAUAAUAUACCGAAAGGUAUGCUAAUACGGGAUAAUAUAUUUGAGAGGCAUCUCUUGAAUAUCAAAGGUGAGCCAGUACAGGAUGGACCCGCGUCUGAUUAGCUAGUUGGUAAGGUAACGGCUUACCAAGGCGACGAUCAGUAGCCGACCUGAGAGGGUGAUCGGCCACAUUGGAACUGAGACGCGGUCCAA
rnacentral:rRNA from 1 species